GCCGAUGUGGUGGAACUGGUAGACACGCUAUCUUGAGGGGGUAGUGGAGUAAGCCGUGCCGGUUCAACUCCGGCCAUCGGCACCA
rnacentral:tRNA from 1 species